rnacentral:rRNA from 1 species
UUUACGGAGAGUUUGAUCCUGGCUCAGGACGAACGCUGGCGGCGUGCCUAAUACAUGCAAGUCGAGCGAAUUUCUUU